GACGAACGCUGGCGGCGUGCUUAACACAUGCAAGUCGAACGGAAAGGCCCUGCUUUUGUGGGGUGCUCGAGUGGCGAACGGGUGAGUAACACGUGAGUAACCUGCCCUUGACUUUGGGAUAACUUCAGGAAACUGGGGCUAAUACCGGAUAGGAGCUCCUGCUGCAUGGUGGGGGUUGGAAAGUUUCGGCGGUUGGGGAUGGACUCGCGGCUUAUCAGCUUGUUGGUGGGGUAGUGGCUUACCAAGGCUUUGACGGGUAGCCGGCCUGAGAGGGUGACCGGCCACAUUGGGACUGGGAUACGGCCCAGACUCCUACGGGAGGCAGGAGUGGGGAAUAUAGCACAAUGGGCGGAGGCCUGAUGCAGCAACGCCGCGUGCGGAUGACGGCCUUCGGGUUGUAAACCGCUUUCGCCUGUGACGAAGCGUGAGUGACGGUAAUGGGUAAAGAAGCACCGGCUAACUACGUG
rnacentral:rRNA from 1 species